UCCAGACUCCUACGGGAGGCAGCAGUGGGGGAUAUUGGACAAUGGGGGAAACCCUGAUCCAGCGACGCCGCGUGAGUGAAGAAGUAUUUCGGUAUGUAAAGCUCUGUCAGCAGGGAAGAAAGAAAUGACGGUACCUGACCAAGAAGCCCCGGCUAACUACGUGCCAGCAGCCGCGGUAAUACGUAGGGGGCAAGCGUUAUCCGGAUUUACUGGGUGUAAAGGGAGCGUAGGUGGCAGGGCAAGUCAGAUGUGAAAAACCGGGGCUCAACCCCGGGAGUGCAUUUGAAACUGUCCAGCUGGAGUGCAGGAGAGGUAAGCGGAAUUCCUAGUGUAGCGGUGAAAUGCAUAGAUAUUAGGAAGAACACCAGUGGCGAAGGCGGCUUGCUGGACAGUAACUGACGGUGAGGCUCGAAAGCGUGGGGAGCAAACAGGAUUAGAUACCCGCUUAAAC
rnacentral:rRNA from 1 species